UUUACACUACAUUUUGUGUUCAGAUUGGAUAGUAGUAGACAGAAAAUAACUGGUUCUGGAUUCCACUUUAUUUUUUUCCAUGCAGUGUGUGGUCUGUUGACAUUGUUGAGCAGGCCAAUUAACCAUGUUAGCUUAUUUUACAUGCAUGCCUCCACAAAUAUAUAUUUUUUCUUCCUGGAAUCUGGGUCGAGAGAGAGAGGAGAGGGAGAGAGAAAAGAGAAGCAAUCCAUCUGGUAAGAAUUACACAGGCAGACAGCUCCCUCUGCUGGCCCAAACUUCUAAUCAAUUUUAGAGAGCUUGUUUAUUAAUGUAACAACGAUGAAUUGUCAACAUUUAACCAGCCAAAUAAACAUAGCUUCUGCUUACCACUUUACAUGACAUUGUGAAAACGCAGGAACACAGUUUCCCGUCCUGGCAAAGUUGCAAACAAAUGUUGUUUACAUUAAAAUUGUAGUCAUUUAGUAGACACUCUUAUCCAGAGCGACUUACAGGAGCAAAUACGGUAAAGUGCCUUGCUCAAGGGCACAUCAACAGAUAUUUCACAUAAACCAGUGAGCUUUCAGUUACUGGCCCAACCAUAGAGAUGGAAAGAGGCCUCAUCCACGUAUCCCAGCCAUUGCGGCCUCUGUGACAGCAUGGGCAGUGCCAUUGAGACUAACUCCAUUUUGAAGUAGUCUAUUUUCUUCUUCACGAUUGGCUGAUCCCUCCUGAUGACCCAGGUGCACAUGACUCCAACAAGGUCACCAAGAGGGAUCAGCCAAUGAAGUUGGAAGUCCCACACAGUUAACCUCGUUAAAAUGAUGGCAGCCCUCAGUGUUAUUGCCCAUGCAAAAAAAUAUUUUGGCCACUAGAGGCCUCUAUCAUUCUCUAUGGGCCCAACACUCUUAACCACUACGUGGCUAAAAUAUUGCCUGCAUAAUUAUUAGGUCGUUUUUAAAAACGUUUGUUUCAAAUAUUGAGUGGAAAAUUCGUUUUCAGUGAAAACAUCUAAUUUUCUAAUAUGUAUAUAAGAGAGGUUGAUUCUCUUUGCUGAUAUUAUCCACAAUGCACAAUUAGCUCAUGUUGAGACAUCUUCAAGUCGACAAUGUUGCGAGGACCCAGAAAUGGUGGGCGUACACGAGAAAGAGCUGAUUCUGAUGGUGAGAGCUAGCUAGCUAAACCAAGCCACUUGUUCCCAAACUUUCAGUUAGCCCGCCAGCUUUUACAUUUGGUGAAAUACGACAUUACUGAAGGCCACAACAUGAAAAAUGUGUGUCAUUGUAUGUAUGAAGCAUUAUGAAUUAAUGAUCUCUGAAUGUAUCAAAAGGCAGCUGUUUCACUAGCAAAAGCUGUACAUAACUUGUCUAGCUAGCUGUGCUAUGGCUUAAAUGACUCAAAUGGCAAGUCUAACCCAAGAAAGACAGUUAUUCAUGCUAUAUUGCAAUUUGAUGACUGACUGGUUGAACAACUGAAAACUGUCAAGAGAAAAUAAAUGCAUGGGACCUUUUAAAAAAAGUCUACAGUUUGACUGAAUAGCAGGUUAUAAUGCAACAAAUCAAUGCUUCUUGACAUACACGUUUUCCUUAUGCUUGUGGUUAUAGUUGAGCCAAGUGCCUUUCAAUCAUUGCAGACUAUCUGGAAUAAUUACAAAGUCUUGAUUGUUAUGGGCACGAGCCUUGGACUCAUACAAUGUCAAGUCACACCCUGCACUACACAAGAAUAAACAGGACUAUGUUCCAGAACCAGGCAUUGUGGCAUAUGUUUCACCACCUCAAGCCCCCAAGGCAAAGUAGCUGGUGAAGGAGUGAGUGAUGUACACAUCCUUCAGAAAAGACAACAUCUACUAGGCUAUAUAAUGGACUGAGACUAUGAAGCCCCAGAGCUGGUUGAGGAAGAACUGGCUGUGGGUGGUUGGGGGGUCCUUUCUUGGCAUCCAUUUAACCACCUGGCUCAUGCAGAGGGCUAUGAGAAGCGUCGCUCGCUCUGAGAUGUCACUGAAAGAGAAGGAUUCCCAGGAGUGACUGGUGGUGAGGCGUUUUGCCAGUGGACUACUAUAUUUUUAACGACUCACGUGUGGAGUAAAUGGAAUUGAACUCUGAACUCAAGAUAAUGAUGUAAUUACCUGUGCUUGAUUAGCUGCAAAUGUUAUUCCUCUGUUAGAGAUCAAAUUAAACUAUGAAUUUCACAAUAA